rfam:Botryobasidium botryosum FD-172 SS1 unplaced genomic scaffold BOTBOscaffold_60, whole genome shotgun sequence.
GCCCUGGUAGCUCAGUGGUAGAGCACUACACUACUUCACCAUCCGUAGAGGAGGUCCGUUCGAUUCGGACCCGGGGCU